rnacentral:lncRNA from 1 species
CGUGUGUGCCUGAGCCCUCUCACGAUCUCCUGGGGCCACAGUGACUUCCUGGCACCGACAGACCACAGGGUGCCCAGGACUUCCCCCUCCCAUGCCCCCACUGCUGCCCCCAGGCUUGCUUCCUUCUUUUCUGUCCCUGGAGCUUGAGCCUGAUGUACAAACACCCGGAAUCGGGCUCGUUAUGUAAGUUUCCUGGUCCCUGGGCUGGGUGACUCAGCAUGAGGUGGUGCCCCGCUCUUUCCCAGCCUGGGGCAGCGUGCUAACCAGGGCCGGGUCAGCGGCAAACUGGAAUGGAAAACAAGGCCCGCUAAUGAGGUCCAGCUGAGCAGCCUUCAUUCCCAGUGGCGUCUGGUGAGCCCAGGAAACCCGCGGGAACCAUCGGAGGGCUCUUGCCAACGAACCCAUGGGUGGAAAUCUCCAUCUCCCCGCUCACUUCCUGUUCUGUUGUCUUAUCUCUCUGGCUGAAGAUUACAGAAGGUUCACAUUUGGCUUCUCUUUGCCCUGAGGCUGCCACUUUCUGGGUCCCUGUUAUAAAUUGAAUGUUCGUGUUACCCCAAAAUUCAUAUGGUGAAGCCCUAACCCUCCAAUGUUGUAGCGUUAGAAAGUGGGGCCUUUGGAAGUAGUUAGAUGGAGUUGAGGUCAUUAAGAUAAAGCCUCCAUGAUGGGAUUAAUGCCGUCCUAAGAAAAGAGACCGAUAUCCUCCACUCUGCACCACCCCUAUGUGAAGAUCCAGCAAGAAGGCGGUCACCUGAAAGCCAGGAAAGGCGUCUUUACCAGAACCCCGCUAUCCGGGCACCCUGAUCUCCAACUUCUAGCCUCCAGAACUGUGGGGAAAUCAAUUUCUGUUGAAGCCACAAAGUCUGUGGUAUGUUGUUAUAGCAGCCCAAGAGAAGACGGUCUCAACUAACCUCAGGUCCUAGUGAGGCCGGGCAGGAAGUGAUGCUGGUGAAUGAGGAUAUACCCUUGGGUGCGGCUCAACCUGGACCCAAACUCUCUCUCUGCCCGCCCCAGGUCCCAAGCACAGAGUAGGGAGUCAGUUGGAAACACUGUUAUAGAGAGAACAAACUUCAGCAAAUCUGGCUUGCCCUCAUUUCUCUCUCCUGCAGGCAUGUGGAUGAAAUCCUAAUUGAAAAAACCAAGACAUAGAAGAAUAUAUACAUCAUGACGCCCUGACGUAAAGGCCAAGAACAGAACAAACAAAGCAGGGUGUGGAAUUUGUACAAAAUGUUUUACGAUCUUUG